ensembl:lncRNA
CCCCACUCCUGUUGAAAAUGAAUAGAGGAUAUUUCCUUCUCUUGCAGCCGUAGUGAUGAACCUUUCACAGUUUGUAUGAAGCCCCCCACUAUCCAAAGCAGACAGGAAAGUCCCCACAUGUUGGAAUGGGAUGCUACACUGUUCCCAGGGCAGCAGCCCUUCAUCGUUCCUUCUGUACAGAAUUUUUCAAGGAGUACGCGGUCUCAAAUUCUGGAUAGAGACCCUCCCUCAGUCAUCAGCUGGAACAGCCAAGCAACUCCUCUGCAGUGUGGAUCCAGGGGACAAAGUGACUCAUAAUCCUUCAGUGGUGAUGUUACUAUUAGAAGUCAGAUCCAGCCGCAAAUAUGUAACCCAGUAAGAUAGCCAUAGGAAAAUAAAUUCAAGAGAGAUUAUCCCCUAUUCCA